CGGAGUGUAGCUCAGCCUGGUAGAGCACUGCGUUCGGGACGCAGGGGUCGCAUGUUCGAAUCCUGUCACUCCGACCA
rnacentral:tRNA from 7 species